GGAGGGGGUUAGCGUUGUUCGGAAUUACUGGGCGUAAAUUUCGCGUAGGCGGAUUAGAAAGUUGGGGGUGAAAUCCUGGAGCUCAACCUCGGAACUGCCUUCAAAACUAUAUUGUCUAGAGUUCGAGAGAGGUGAGUGGAAUUCCGAGUGUAGAGGUGAAAUUCGUAGAUAUUCGCAGGAACACCAGUGGCGAAGGCGGCUCACUGGCUCUUUACUGACGCUGAGGUGCGAAAGCUGUGGUGAGCCAACAGGAUUAGAUACCCUGGUAGUCCACACCGUAAACGAUGAAUGCCAGACUCAGUGUCGCAGCGAAAGCGAUAAACACACCGCCUGGGGAGUACGACCGCAAGGUUAAAACUCAAAUGAAUUGACGGGGACCCGCACAAGUAGUGGAGCAUGUGGUUUAAUUCGAAGAUACGCGCAGAACCUUACCAACACUUGACAUGUUCGUCGCGACUUUAAGAGAUUAGAGUUUUCGGUUCGGCCGGACGAAACACAGGUGCUGCAUGGCUGUCGUCAGCUCGUGUCGUGAGAUGUUGGGUUAAGUCCCGCAACGAGCGCAACCCUCACUUUUAGUUGCCAUCAUUUAGUUGGGCACUCUGAAAGAACUGCCAGUGAUAAGCUGGAGGAAGGUGGGGAUGACGUCAAGUCCUCAUGGCCCUUACGUGUUGGGCUACACACGUGCUACAAUGGUAUCUACAACAGGAAGCAAGACUGCGAGGUCAAGCAAAUCCUUAAAAGAUACCUCAGUUCGGAUUGCACUCUGCACCUCGAGUGCAUGAAGCUGGAAUUACUAGUAAUCGUGGAUCAGCGUGCCACGGUGAAUGCGUUCCCGGGUCUU
rnacentral:rRNA from 1 species